rnacentral:rRNA from 1 species
UACGUAGGCAGCAAGCGUUGUUCGGAGUUACUGGGCGUAAAGGGUGUGUAGGCGGUCUUCUAAGUUUGGUGUGAAAUCUCCCGGCUCAACUGGGAGGGUGCGCCGAAAACUGGGAGGCUAGAGUACUGGAUGGGAGAGUGGAAUUCCUGGUGUAGCGGUGAAAUGCGUAGAGAUCAUGAGGAAGACCAGUGGCGAAGGCGGGUCUCUGGACAGUUCCUGACACUGAGGCACGAAGGCCAGGGGAGCAAACGGG